UACGAAGGGUGCAAGCGUUACUCGGAAUUACUGGGCGUAAAGCGUGCGUAGGUGGUGAGUUAAGUCUGUCGUGAAAGCCCCGGGCUCAACCUGGGAAUGGCGAUGGAUACUGGCUCGCUAGAGUGCGGUAGAGGAGAGUGGAAUUCCCGGUGUAGCAGUGAAAUGCGUAGAGAUCGGGAGGAACAUCAGUUGCGAAGGCGGCUCUCGUGGACCAGCACUGACACUGAGGCACGAAAGCGUGGGGAGCAAACAG
rnacentral:rRNA from 1 species